GGAAGGGUGGGCGCGGGCCGCCCGCCGCUCCCCGGAGCUCCGACCCGCUGGGCCGGGCAGGUCUCGAGUUGCAAUGAAUGCACUUAAGAUGAGCCUUUCCAUGGUACUACCUAGCAGGUGCACAUUCUGGCAGUUCCCCCAAGAAUGACCUAGCCUGGAAUCAAGGACCACCCAAACUCAACAUGCUCUUCUCAGGUCUCAAGAAGAAGUGGUCUAGCCACCAUUAUCACACACCCUUCCUAAGCCAUUAAAGCUAGCAUUUAGGGAAAAGCCAUAAUGAGACACCUUUCUUCAUGGCUACAACCCUGAACCAGCCCCUGAAGCAACAAGAGCUGCUUUUUUAGGCCCUCAGUCUUACUUUGCUGGGGCCACUCUAGGUCCAGACGGGCCAGAUACUCUCGAAGUUACAACUACACUCAUGGCAGUGUCUGAGGAUGGCUUCCUUAGCUUUAGACAUGCCACCAGACUUCUCAAAGCCAUGAAGGCUUAUGGGUUAGAGAUACAUGGAGGUUGUGUGCCUAGAAGGCCUAGAAAUGUGUGUUUAAUUGGGAGUGUCUGGUUUGAUGAAUGCACCUUGAUACAUUAUACAUGAUCAAAGGGAGCCAGGUGUGCCACACAGAUUUUCAUGCUGGGUUAGGAGAAUCAGCUCUCAGUGGUGUCUAUGUGAUGGGAAAGAGCUGGAGAGCCAUAGGGAAGAGGAUAAUUGGAAUCUCUCUUUUCUCCUUGGUGUCUGGGUCAGAGCUGGUCUUUUAAAGAGUCCUGGUGAUGGUGGUUGAUAACAAAAGCAAACACAGACAGCAGUACCUGAUACCCAAGCGAACAUCAUCUAUGCUGCAGGAAGGGCAGUAUCAGUUACAACUUAAGGCAGCUGUGAUUACAAUCAAGCCAAUAAAUACACAAGCACUGCUGAAGGAAAAACCACCCAUUUUUGACUCCCCAGACCACUGUGCAGUUGCUGCUCUUGCCAGAUAGCCUGUUUCUCUCAGCUGCUGGGCUGAGAGCUUGCUGCUACAAGUCUGCAGUGGCAACUGAGGAGCUGAACUAACUUUCCUUCUAAUGCCCUGGGUGCAAUUUUAUAGCUCAGGUGUGCUACCCUACAAAGGACAGCAGUUAGGGAAUUAUGUAUGGGUGCAUGGUGGUGUCACCCAGGCAUGAAAUCUGCUCACCAGACAGCCUGCCCUGCAAUGUUGUCUCAUGUUUUCUACGGGCUAGGACCCACUUCAUCUGCUCUGUGGGACAAGCAGCACAUGAGUUAGCUCAGGGCACAUCCAGCAGCAGCAGUCUGUGCAGCCCUCUCCUUCCUGCCUUCUGCCUGAGCAAUAGGGUCAUCCAAAACAAAACAGGCAUGGGACAUUCAGGGAGGUUCAAGAUGAUACUGAAACCAAUUUUAAUGGAGGUGCACUCUACCACAGCAUUAUUUCCUAUGACCACAGAAAGUGAGUUUGGAGAAAGCAACUAGAGAAGAUCUAAAGAACUGUAUCACAAUUACAUAGUAAAUGGCCACUCAGCAACACGAUCUUCCUCUGAGCACGGCACACCAUCACUACGAGCUCCAGUGCUGCUGGUGGAAGCCGAGCUGCAGGAGCUCCUGGCUUCAUCAAUGUUUGUUUAAGGAUCACUGGGGAACUCUCUCCUCUUCCUGCAAGCAUUUGUAUUUUUGUAUAAAUACACAGACAAGUCCUGUUGGGUUGGUGGUGGCCAGAAAUAUCAAAUCCCUGUGACUGCACAGGCUGGGGCACGCAGGAUGUGGAAUGGGCAAAAUGCCCUUCAUGAGGGUCUCAAACCAUUCCUGCCAACCUUUUGCAAAACUGAAGAGACUGUCCUGUGCAUGCUCAGGAGAUGCACUUUACCUUGAUGUCUGUGAAUUAUCCUCUCAGAAUUAGCAGCACUAAUAGGCAAUGAGGUGCCAAAUUUUAUUCAAAUUUACUGUUUGUUUGGCUGCUCAGAUAUCAGUUGGGCAGUCUCUAAGGCCACGAUCGUAUGAUCUGAUUUUUUAAGGCGAUAAGGGCCUGAGGCAAUGUUGGAAACUGCCAAGAACAAAAUGUGCAAAGCAAUGCAUGUCCAGGAGAUUAGCUGCAGGAUGAAGGAUGCGGUCAGGGAAAGCUGUGCACCGACACCUAGGAAGGAACAACUUACAGGAUGGAAGCUGCUAGGCGUUUAUCUCACUGCCUCAAGCAUAGCCAUCAAAGAGAUUUCCUGCUUCCUUUCCAUCUCCUGCUUUGUGGGACUGGAAGAAGGCACCUAGAGCAAGGAAAGGUGCUCACUAUGGGGCAGGAGGGUGGACAACUAUUUCUAAUGUAGCAGUGAAAGAGAAAUGGCCAGUGCAGAGCAAAUCAAAGCAAGGAUUUGCCUGGCUUGAUUUCUGCCCCUUAGCGCCAUUUUUGGGGGGAAAGGAGACUGUGCUGCUAAAGGUCAAACAGAAACUUUGGGCAAUGUGUGAUCUAGAAAAUCUCUGAAGAUGGCUGUGGGUGAUGCUGUGAUGAGCAGCAGCAGAGAGGCAUGCCAGGACAGGGAGCAACUCAGGCUCUGGGAUCAAGUGCAAGUUAUAAGGUGACAGAAGUGUGUAAAAUGGCCUCAGGUCAGUACUAUUCCAUGGGCUGCCACUGCAAACAAAUGGGGAUGGGCAUGCCCAGGAGCUGGAAAAGGGCAGCUGCUCAAUUGCUUGGCACCAAGCCGGCAUCGCACACAACAGGUGAGAGAGGAUGAGGAACUGAAUGGCAGCCCUCAGACUGCUAUCAAGAUGCCAGGUGGCAAACAGUCUGUAGUCCUCUGGUGGCCUUGAGGGGGAGAGUAGUGACCCUCAAGAAUUGCCCUCAGAGUCCCAGCAAAGUACAUGCCAGUGUUUGGUCCCCAUGCCAGCUUUUUGGUCCUACAGGACACUGCCUUGGGAUUGUCCUCCAAUUUUCUGCCUGGGAUGUUCAGGAGAAAAAAAAAAAAAAAAAACAUUCAGAGGCUGCUACACAUAACACUGGCUCAAACAGGGUAUGUUGUCUCCCAGGACAACACUGUCUUUCAAGUCUUCGUCCUUCCUCUCCUUGUCUCUCUUACAGGUCUGGGGUCACUAGCGAUUAGAUUUACAGACACAUGGCAAUUGGUUCUCUGAGCACAAUGACUGCACAAUUUAAACAGAUUAACUGCAUAUAGUUGUGCACAGUGAGGUAACUAAAAGGUCAAGGAUUCAUGAACUGGUAGGCCCUGAGAAAGUAAAUAUGUGUAGAAAUAACCUCCCCCCAAAUUCAGACAUGGGGACACUAUUCUUUUCUUUAAUGUCAGUUUUAGUUAUGGUAGAGUGCCUCCACAGCACACUCUUGACAAAAUGAGGUGUAAGACAACAGCCAAUAAAACAGUUAAGUGACACUAAGGAGCAUGUAUGGAUGGAAAGCCAAAAAGUAUCUGAAGCAUUUGCCCAAAACUUCUUUUGCUGAAGAGGAAAACAAAGAGCAGACAUCAGCUGAUGAUGCUAAAGAGGAUGGCAUCCAUCAGCUGGAUUAAAUGGUAACCAGGGAACAGCAAAGACAAUUUGGAGACAAAGAAUGAGUUGGUUGGAAAGACUGUAUAAACGAAAAACAAAAACCAGAAACAGAUCAGGGAAGGGCCUCAGACUGUCAGAAUCCAGUCUGGCACAUCUCAGCUUCUGUGGAGGUCAGAUGCAGCAGUUCCCCAUCCAUGUCACCAUCAGCAGCAGGGCCCAGUGCACGGCCUGACCCCAUGGGGCGCAGCAUGUGGGACUCACACUCCAGGAGGGGGUGGGACCUGCUGGUGUCCCUGCCUGCCAGCAGAUGCAUUAGCUGAUUGUUGGGAGUGGUGUGGGCACCCCUAGAGCUGGAGUGGCCACAACUGCCGUGGGAAAAGGACAUAACUGGGGGAGCUGUGCUCCCAGAAGUGACUCCCAUGCCAGUGAGAGAGGGGUUGAUGCCCACGUGUCUGGAGAUUAGUAACAAAGGUGUGUUUAGGAACCAGAAGGAAUUUAUAAGUGUUUUCUAAGUGUCUAACCUAGUGAUUGAACUGCUGUAUUGCUGACAUAGACCCUGAAUGUAUAGUUCAUGGAUUGUCCAUGAAUUACAUCUCCUUAAUAAAUCAAUAAACUGUUUCAGUCCUGAUUUGGUUUAACUUAGGUGAGCUGAGCCACUUUUCCCUGCCACAAUGACCAGCUGAUGCAGUCUUUUGACCAGUCCUGGUGGGAGAAAGUCUAAAUGCUCAGUGAUAGAAAAAAAAGAUUCACUUUAUGUUGAACUGGUGCCUAUGUGCAGAGCAAAGGAAGGGUUUUGGGGUGGGCUGGAUGGCAGGUGAAGACAGAAAAGGGAGAUGCAAUAGAGACUACAUGAUGUUUGCCUGGUAUUUGACAACUGGAAUAAAUACUUCUGGUGGACAGUAGGGGUUCUGGUGAUUGCUACAAUGAAACCUGACAGCUACCAACACUGUUCUGAUGGAGACAAAGGCAACAGAUAGUUGGGAAGGCAGCAGAAGUCACAUCAUAUUGCCAGAAUUUUGCUUUUGGGCUUAGAUGGAAAAAAAUACUCUGAUCUCACAGAAAAUAAUAUGAAAAUACUGUCUUGUACGAAACCUACCCUGUUUUCCUAGGCAUAUCUGGAAGUGAUCACCACACAGGGAAGCAGCAUUACCCAGGAAAUAGCUAUGAAGCUAUCAAGAGCACAUGUUUUGUGAUAAUGGGCACCUGGAACCUUACUGGAGCAGUAGCCAGCUUCCUGGUAUGCAGCCACCAAGCUCAGGCAGCUACAUGAGCUCCUGAUGCAGCCAGCAGCUACAAGUUUGAGGCAUUGAUACAGCUUCAACCCUGCUGGUCCAAAAAAAUUGUCCCCAUUUGGCUCCUACUGGGUAUAGAAGCAUUGUGCACCCUCUCUACAGCUGCCAGCACUUUUCUGUUCAGGCAGUAAGAUCACAGGACUUCAUUCUCCACUUGGCCCUGAUCAUGAGCCCCAUACAGAGUUUCUGAUGAAGGUUGUAUUUGGGCACCAGCAUGCUUGUCUGCUCCAGUUAGAGCUCUGCUGUCUCCAGUGCCAGCUAGCCUGGGACAUCUAGCAGGAAACCAAGUCAAAGAAUGAGAACUAAAUAAACUCCAAAACUAUUUUGAGGCCUUCUCUAAAAGAAAACCAAAAUUUCUAAAAAGAAAAAGUCAGAGUGGAAAAACAUUUCUAUUUUUAGCCAUCAGGAACAAGACUUAUCUAAGCAGCACCACACAGGAACUGGCAAUGGGAAUGGUAAGUUCAGGUUCAACUUGUUACUAAACAUCAGUAGGAUGGUACAUGAUUUACAAUGCCUGUCAGAAGCCUUUCUCCUUCUCCUCAUCAGAGAUCUUUCCCCUGAAACUAUUCACAGACGUAUGUGGUAAUUUUAAAGAUUGCUCCAGCAUUGUCCAUACCAGAACUUCUUACCAUCUGAAGGUGGAUGUCUCUGCAAACCAGAAAGCCUGCUGCCCACUGUGGCCUUCUUGGAGGACUUUGGUUUGGCUUGGGUUGUCUGGUUCCUCUGUGACAUCCUGCAGUGACCAAUACUGCACCCUCACUUGAAGUGACGCAUGACGUGUAAAACACAUUUUCACUGGAGAAUCCCUCUACAGUCCUGAACAUCCAGUUAUUAUGACUGAAGACAUCAUGCAGCUGUGAUGGAACUGUCUGCUUUCAUUUCACUUGUACGAAUUUGGUGGCAUGGUAACCACUUUGGAGUCUGAAAUUCCUUUUUCUAUUUAAGCCAGUCCCAUGGACUGCAGCACACUACACAGCCUGAGAGGCAUUAUCAGGCAGGCCAAAAGGGGCACACAUCCAACAGGCGCUUAAAAAGCACUUUUCUCAUUAUAAUUCUCAUAUAAUUUUUUAUUAUAAGUAGUAGGAGUUAAGAACCUGACCUGUGUGAAUGAUUUAAAAAGCUGGAUGAGCCUCAGUGUGUUUUUAGAUGCUUGUAUACCUUGGAAAAUCUGUUUUGCCUUUGUGCUCAGAUAGCCAGGAUAUGUUUGACAUGGACAUUUGUACCAGAUUUGUGUCAAAGUGAAUCCAUCUUGCAACAUCAUGAUGGGACCUGGGCACUUAUGUUGCUGGUGGCCACAGACUGAUCAGGCAUUUCUCAGAAACUCUCAGUCCUGGCUAAAUAAGAUAUCACAAGUGACUGCCACAGAGAAGUGAACACCAUGAGCAAACAGCUCCACUAAUAUGUCUGCCCUAACAACGGCACAGGUCAUGUGCUGUGAUGCUGCUGUUAUUGACAUAAGGUGAUACCUUUGUUUUUCCCUUCUUUAAACCCUAGUUAUCAGCUGAAUAACACAAAUCCUUGGAGGACAUAAUCAUGACAAGACCUCCAAGUCAGCUAGUUUUGAGUUAUACUUUUUCUUUCACAGGAAACAUCCCCAAAAUAUCAACAAGCAAAUCUGUUCUUCUGCAUGUUAAAAGAAUUCACCAGGCAACCAGGACCAGGAACUGAAUAGAAAUUUCUUUUUCUCCCCACCCAUAUUUCCUUUUGGAAAAGCAGUCGCUAUUGGUAAUCAAAGAUUAGCUACUAUUGCCUGAUGUUCAAAGCACUUCACAAAUGAACACUCCUUACCAAAAUGUCUUAGCUAACCAGUUUUGUUACAAGCUACUUUUGGUGACUUGUAAGCGCAUAAAACCGGCAACACCUGGAACAUGCCAAAGGUCCAUUUAAUCCAGUGUGUCUUCUCCAGCUGUGGUCAGUACCAAAUAUUUAGAAAAAGAGCCCAAGAAGAGGGAAAGUACACAGUGACCAGUGUGAUUUCCCAGGUGCUAGGAGUCUGUCGCCUAGGGAUUUCCCAAGACAGGGAGUACACUGGCAGCUAAGUAAACUGGGCGUAGUCCCCAGCCUAAUCUGAGGCUCACUUUGAGAAGUAGUUUGUAUCUGGCAAGUUGCACCUCACCCUCCAGCCUAAUGGUAUGACUGCAGCCCCUGCAAGUUCACCUGGGUUGUUGUAGUGUGUUUUUAUACUUUGUAAUACUUUGAAGUAGCUUUGUUUUGUAUCCCCAAAAUUUGUACUUUUCCCAAAUGGUUUAUCCCAGAUUGUACUCCCUUCCUGUGCAAUCCCUCUCCCUGGAUGAGAUCAUCCCUAAAUCCCCACCCUGGCUCUCUGUCAAUCACUCACCAUCCCAUCCCCUCCAUCUAGAAGCUUCAGUCCAGGCUGUCGAGUGAUUAGUCAGAGGCCAGGGGUCAGCCCCCCAAGCCUUGUCCCAUACGCUGUCCUAAAUGUCUAUUCCUCAGUACCCAUCCCUUAGGGGCACAUAGUGGUUAGUAAAAUGUUCUCUGCUUUUGGUUUCCACGUCUCUUUCAAUGUAACCUUGGCACAUCUCCUGGGGCUCUCAGCAGGAGGCCCCUGAGGUGCAGGAGCUCCCCAGAGCCCCUAAAUAAAACCUUGGAUUAACCCCUGCUAAGAGUGGGCCUUUAUCUUCUACCGAUGUCUCUGGUGUCUCUCCUGCUGCAAAGGCGACCAGCCCGGGUGCCCUCAGUCCCCUCAGGGCACAGAGAGCGUCUCCCUGCUGUCGGCCGUGUCGGGGACUUGGGACUGGCCAGGGAUCCUGAGAGGCUCCCAGAGGGACAAGAGACACUGGGUGAGCUUUAGAGGCCAGUGGGGUGCAGAGCUGAGGGAGGUAUCACCACAGCCACACACUGCACAGAAAGAGCCAGCACUGGCCUGUCACUGGUGCAUUUCACCAUGGCCCAGCAAGAGGGUUCAGAGCUGUCCCUGGUCUGGCUGAGUAAGUCACCGUUAGCCUCAGAGUGCCCCCAGAUUAGCCUUCCCAUGGGUGUGCAGUUAUAGGUGAACCAUAAACCUCAGUGGACACACCUGACGAGGGAGGUACCGUAGCUGUCUUACUGUCACGCUGCUAUUUGAGCAUCCAUGUGUCAACGCCACCAGAAAACAAACAACCAGCAGCACAAGAGUGCACAAAGAGAAUCUUUUUCCUUCUUCAGAUGCAGCCUCCUAGCACAUGGGAAUUGCUUCUCAUUUUUCCAGCAAAAUGACCGGCUGAGGUGGCCUUUGUGUCACCUGUGGUGACUCACCAGCUCACUGGUCUGCCCUUGCCGCACGAGGCUUGCAACAUGGAAGAACACAUUCUGCUAGGCCCAUACUUAAUUUAUAACUGCUAAUUAAUUGCAUAAUGGAUUAGAUAGCAAGGUCCCUGGUCUAUAUGUGUUCAAAAUGCCAUCUGGAAAUAGGCUGUGUGGUUAGUAAGAUGGCUGCUCUCUUAAACCUGAUACCUUUGUAAGAGAAUCUGUCCCAGCAUUAUUGAUGAUUCAGAACUGUACAACAAAGAUGUGUAUUUUAUUCUCCAGGAGAAGGUUUUUGAGAUGGCAAACAUUUGGUCAUUAGAAGGCUGAUCGGUGUGCUUCAUUCCCAUGGCAAGCACUGGGAUGAAUAUCCUGUUAUAAAUGUAAAGCAAAUAGUUUACUCAAAGAGCUUUAAAUGUCAUCAGUCUCUUAGAAAAUGCAUGUCAGUAGUGCUCAUGUGACUCUGAAAGCCGUGUGGCUGUUUAGUAAAACUUUUGCCUCCA